CAGUAGCCGCGGGAAUACGUAGGUCCCGAGCGUUGUCCGGAUUUAUUGGGCGUAAAGCGAGCGCAGGCGGUUAGAUAAGUCUGAAGUUAAAGGCUGUGGCUUAACCAUAGUACGCUUUGGAAACUGUUUAACUUGAGUGCAAGAGGGGAGAGUGGAAUUCCAUGUGUAGCGGUGAAAUGCGUAGAUAUAUGGAGGAACACCGGUGGCGAAAGCGGCUCUCUGGCUUGUAACUGACGCUGAGGCUCGAAAGCGUGGGGAGCAAACAGGAUUAGAUACCCCCGUAGUCCCUGUCUCUUAUACA
rnacentral:rRNA from 1 species